rnacentral:piRNA from 1 species
UACUACAAGUUCAUAAAAUCAACAAAUGAGU